CCCCCCCCCCACCCAAACAAACCAUUCAUUUUCUUUUAAUUUGAUUUUGACUAAUGAAAUUGUUUGCUUCUUGGUAACAUUCUUAACUUUUUGCUGGAUAUAUUUUUUUUGCCGUUCCUCAACUCUGACCCUUUCGGCGGGGCAUUCCAAUUCAUUGAAUUUGCUUGUUUAAAUUACAAAAUUCAUAUCAAGAAUUUUCUGCAUUCAAGGAUAGUUUCUGAUGAUAUGAAAGUAAAAUAUUUUAAACCUGAUAGGAACCUUCAUAAUCAGUAGUGGUAAACAAACAUUUGGUGGUGAUUAACUUGUAUAGUUCAAUUUCAGAAAAAAGAUACUUAUUUAUGAAUAGCUGCCAUAUACUUCAAGGGAAAUCAAAGGUCACUGGAGACUCUACCAGGACAUACAUCUGACCGAUACACAAGGUUUUGCCAGGAGAUAUAUCACACAGUUAAGGGCCUACAAAGAUGCAAAGGUUUAAGGCUGUACAACAUGCAAGACUACCAGACAUAAUCAGCCUAUACAAUCAUUACCAAGCUGCUUAGUGUAUGAUGGGUCCUCUACACCAAGAAACAUUGUAACCUAGCUAAAGUCUGCCACCUCUUCAGCUGACUUGGUCAUGAUGGUGAAAAUUAAAGUGCCUGAAAAUCCUCCUGUUGAUGACCUAGCAGUCAAAGUACCUCAGCAAAAAAUCAGACAUUUCUUAUUCAUCGUCUUUCUUCAAUUUCAAGAGCAAGGGGAUACAUGGAGAAUUCCUGUCUUUCACCUAUACUGAGCCUUCGAAGAUUUUCAAACACUGUUUAGCACGCUGUAUAUCCCUUGAGAAAUGUCCGAGACUGUUUCUUCAGCAGUGCCCUGCCUUGAAGCCUUACUUGAACAGUCAUGAUGACAGUGAAAUGUCAGGGAACAGGGUUCAAAGAUGUGCUGCCAGACUUCCUGAUUCGUUGUUCGCUGCCUGAGUUACCACUUCCUUGAAUUCAUUAUGGGUCCUCUGAAUGAAUUCAGUACCACCUUUCAGGCUAGUGAGUCAAUGAUUGGUUAUUUCCAUCCAGAAAUGGAACAACUAGUGGGGAAGUUUUUAGGGACAUUUGUAUAGACCAAGGUUAUGACAUCUGCCAGAACCAUCACUGAAGUCCAUGCUGAGGAGAGGGAAAACCAACAUCCAGACGAGGACCUGGCUAUGGGUGUGGGUACACUCCCUACAUAUCUACAUGACAACCCUGAUAUUCCAGCAUAAACCAUCAGAAAGCUUUUCAGUUCUGUGAGAGACUUUAACCUUGGGGGACCAGUAUGAUUGUGAAGAAGUUAUCCAUUGCUGACACUACCUAGCACAACCCAGUCUUCUCCAGGAUUAAAACCUACAGCCUUCUAAUAAAAAAUCUUGUGUUGGACCUAUUGAGCUUACAGGCAGAGCUGGCUUGGUGGAAAUGAUAUCAAAAGGCCCACUGAAACCAGAGAUUACAUUUUAUGGUGAUGAUGUAGUGUGACCAAUUGCAGAGUUUGUGCAUAUUAGACAGUUGCAUAGAAAGAGUUUACAUUUUGUUGGAAUCCUUGUUGCAGAUAUACUCGGGUUACAGAUUUGCGGUAGCUGUCAGCAACCAAGAAACCAGUAACCACUCAAAAUAAAGGACCCACAUGACCAGACAACAAGAUUAUAAAUUCAAGCGAAGUGUGCCAAAGUUCAAGUCUGGAGAUAUCAUUGGCAAAUCUUAGACAUUUUUAGAUAUAAGUUCAGUCAGUCAGUGUUAAAUUAUGAUCCAUCCACCCUUUCAGACACAACAAGGCAUAACUGCCACAUAGAGUAGUAGUAGACCGAUUUUGCUUAGAUUUAAUUUUAAAAUGACUUCAUUUAUAUAGUUUUCAGUCAAAGGCUUUUCUCGGUAUUUGUAUUUUAUUCUAUAUAUCAAGUUCUGGAAAAUAAUAAUAUUGGAGAUGAGUUUUUAUCAAAAAAUAAAGAAAAUUAGAUUUUAUUGUUGAUGUGUUUUUAGAAUAAAUAUGUAUAAAGUGACUAUAGCAAAGGCAGAAUUACUUGCCACCAGCAGGCUAAAUAUUUUUAGAGGCACAAAGUUCUAUGCUUUUGGGCUAAAACAGCUAUUUUCGUGAGGACAUUAAUUUGGGGAUUUAAAUUUUGAACAUUAAGUGAAUGGGAAUUUUACUUAAUAUCCACUGAGUUUUAAUUUUGUGGAUAAAAUAUGCCCCGCAAAAAUGAGUCCCUCAGGAAAAUUUAUAAUUUAAAAAAGAUUUUCUUUUCUUGUUUUUCAAAACUCUUCUGUGUUGCCUGAAAACUUGUCAUAUUUAUAUGAAUAUAUUAUAUGACACAUUUUGCACAGCACGGAAUAAAGAACAUAACUGUGGCAAGGAUUGAACUUCUAUAUCAUAGUCUUGUACAUUAUCUUCUAUGCUAAAUCAUUGUGCUUGUGUAUCAUAAAUACCCAUGAUUGAUGUUAGGAGAGUAAUAAUAAGCAAAUAUGAAAAUAAAAUUUGAUUCAUGCCUUAUGAAAUACUGGAAUAUAUCAAUGAAAUAAAAUUGAUAUUUUCACUGUUUGAAAUGGUAAAAAUAUCUCUUUUUGUUUUUCACUGGUAUGUAACUAUACUUGAAUGUGAAAGAAUAUGAAUUAUAAAACAUACUUCAGUAAAGAUAAGAUAUAUAUAAAUACCUACAGGAACAUAAAGAUGUACGGCCAACCAAAAUAAAAUGUAAAUGAAUGUGGAAACAUUAUAGAACUAUUUGACGAUUUUUAGCUCGACUAUUCGAAGAAUAAGUAGAGCUUUCCUACUCACCACGGCUUCGGUGUCACACCUUUGUUCAGUUUUUCGUACCAGUCCACAUUUUGACAAAGUCUGUUGAGAUAAAGCUUUGAUACUUUCAACACUUGUUUACCAUCACCAUGUCCAGUUAUAGGCAAGAGUACGUAACUUCAUCAAGGAUUUUGGCUGAAUAAUGGCCCCUUUCGACUUAGAAAUCACGGUUAACUUUUUUGUACCAGUUCAUUUUUUGACAGAGUCUUUUGAGAUAAAGCUUUGAAACUUUCAACACUUGUUAACAAUCACCAUGUCCAGUUAUAGGCAAGAGUACAUAACUCUAUCAAGGAUUUUAGGUGAAUUAUGGCCCCUUUCGACUUAGAAAUCUUGUUAAGUUUUUCGUACCAGUCCACAUUUUGACAAAGUCUUUUGAGAUAAAACUUUGAUACUUUCAACACUUGUUUACAAUCACCAUGUCCAGUUAUAGGCAAGAGUACGUAACUCCAUCAAGGAUUUUGGCUGAAUAAUGGCCCCUUUCGACUUAGAAAUCACGGUUAACUUUUUUGUACCAGUUCAUUUUUUGACAGAGUCUUUUGAGAUAAAGCUUUGAAACUUUCAACACUUGUUAACAAUCACCAUGUCCUGUUAUAGGCAAGAGUACAUAACUCCAUCAAGGAUUUUGGCUGAAUUAUGGUCCCUUUUGACUUAGAAAUCUUGGUUAAGUUUUUCGUACCAGUUCAUAUUUUGUGUAAAGUGUUUGACAUAUAUCUUUGAAACUUUUAUCACUUGUUCAGUAUUGUAGUCUCUAUCUGUAGGCAAGAGUACAUAACUGUGUCAUCUAUUUUGGCUGAAUUGUGGCCUUUUUUGGACUUGGAAAUUGGUUCUAUUUUUGUACAAGUCCACGUUCUGUCAAAAUUAUUUGACAUAUGGCUUUUAAACUUUGAACACUUGUUAAUCAUCAUGAUUUCCGUCUGUAGGCAAGAGUACAUAAUUCUGACAACUAUUUUGGCUGAAUUAUGUCCCUUUUUGGACUUGGUAAUCAGUUAAAAUUUUCAUACCAUUCCAUAUUUUGUUUAAAUUGUUGUGACUGAAACUUUGAACACUUCAUUAUCAUCAUGGUCAGACAUUGCCAUUUAAUGCAAGACUUAUCAAAAUGCUUUGCCUAAUUUAUUUUUUUCUUUUGUCUGAAAAUCUGCGGUAAUAUUUUGACCCCAUUCCUCAAUCAGUUCUUCAAAUAGUCGAGCGCGCUGUCAUCCGAAAGCUCAUGUUUAAGGUAGAUAUCUUGAUGUAACAACAUUUUAACUUCAUGACAAAAUGCACAAGCCGUUGCACAGGCAAAAUGGGAGUAAUUUACCGGUAGUUAAAACCAUUUAAAUAGUAUUAUAAAAACAUCAUUUGUUUGUUUUACAUGUAAAUUCAAAAUAUAUUUCACUUGUGAACACCAUAAUUUACAUUUUCACUUGUGGCUGUGCUUCACGUGAAAAUAUUACAUAUGGUUUCACUCAGUGAAAUAGUCAUUUCAAUCUUACACUGAAGCAAACAAAUUUCUUUUAAGUGGCACAGAUUACUCAAAAAAGGGAAGUUUAUUAAUGAUUGUUUUAUCUUACAAUAUGCAAAACAUAAAGAAGCAAGUUAAGUUACAGUGGAACCUGAAACUGAUCUUUUUUCAUGUUGACGUAUAAAUUUUACAUCGAGGAGCAUGAUAUAAUUUUAUGUCCCUUUUUGUUUAUUUACGUCAGUUUUGUCAGUUUUAUUCUGGGUAUUGAACAAAUUCACAAUAUUAAUAUGUGUUGAUAAUAUUAUAUAUGUAGUGAAUGGAGUGUUAGCUUUGUUUUAAGAAAUAUGUACUCCUUCUUUAGCAGAAUGAUAUAGCGCUCCUAAAUACAUGUAAUAUUUCUGCUGCAGAACUUGAGGCAUAUUUCUUGAUACAAAGCUAAUAACCUAUAAGUAUUGUACUGAAGUAUCAACCAAGGUUCAGUUUUGUUUCGUCUUUAUGUUUUUGUUGUGAAUGUUCUAGUUUAAACUUUGUUGUAACAUUAUUUUUGUCAGUUAAUUCACAUUUUGUUUCUAGAAAAUACUUGGGUAUGCUGACAGGAAGUCAAUAUUUAGCUUGACUAUUCUACUCACACUGGCGUCGGCGUCACACCUUGGUUAAGUUUUUGCAUGCAAGUAUAUACAGCUAUCAUUUAAAGGCAUAUAGCUUUGAAACUUAUGGGUCAAGUUGAGGUCGCUGACUUCAAUCAUUUGCGCCUCAUCGAUGUGGGUUUGAGCCUCACUCUGGGCGUUGAAUUCUUCAUGUGAGGAAGCCAUCCAGCUGGCUUAUGGAAGGUUGGUGGUUCUACCCAGGUGCCUGCUCGUGAUGAAGCAAUGCACAGAGGGGCACCUGGGCACCUGGGGUCUUCCUCCACCAUCAAAGCUGGAAAGUCGCCAUAUGACCUAUAAUUGUGCCGGUGCAACGUUAAACCCAACAAAUAAAUAAACUACUAAAAGGCAUAUAGAUUUGAAACUUUUUUUUUCUUUUUCUAGAUCAAUUACCAACCUCACUAGGUCAAGUCCCAUAACUCUGACAUGUAUUUUGGGCAAAUUAUGCCCCUUUUUGAACUUGGAAAAUCCUGGUUAAAGUUUUACAUGCAAGUUACUAUCUCCAACACUAAUGCAGAUAUUGAAUUGGACUCAGAAAAUCCUGGUUAAAGUUUUUCGUGCAAGUACAUACAGCUAUUACCAAAAGGCAUAUAGAUUUGUAACUUAUUUUUUCUUUUUCAAGAUCAGUUACCAACCUCACUGGGUCAAAUCCCAUAACUCUGACAUGUAUUUUGGUCAAAUUAUGUCCCCUUUUGAACUUAAAACUCUUUUGAUAUUUAACAUUUUGGGUAAUAUUUUCCUUCUUCUGGGACAAUAUUUCGAAUAGUCGAGCUUGGCUGUCUUAUGGACAGCUCUUGUUGUAUUUUUAUGCCCCCAGCAUCUACUGAUGGGGGAGGCAUAUAGUGAUGUCCUGUCCGUUCUUCUGUUUGUCCGUUUGUCCUUCCAUACGAGGUUAGAAUGACUUGAUACUAAUGCAGAUGUAACCUGUGACCAUUCCUCAUCUUCAAACAUCACCUGACCUCAGUUUCACCUUGACCUUGACCUCGUUUUGGACUUAGGUUGCUUUGUAUGGGCCAUCUUUUGGUUAACCAAAUGGAACCGUUUCGUCUAGCAUCAAUCCCCCUUUUCAAGAAUGACUUGAUAUUAAUGCAGAUGUAACCUGUGACCAUUCCUCAUCUUCAGACCUGACCUCAGUUUGACCUUGAACUUGACCUUGUUUUGGACUUAGGUUGCUUUGUAUCGACAAGGAUGCUACCGGGGGCAUCAAGCGUUUAUUGAACGCAGCUUCUUGUUUUAUCUCAGAUUGUUCAAAGACAUCUUGGUCAAAGUUCUCUACUGUAAUUAAAAGAUU